AGUUGGAAAAUUCUGAGAGCGUUUGUAGGGCCUGAAUGUGCAUGACCUCCUAGAAUAUGAAAAGGGUUGCAGUAAUGGGGGUCAACAUUUCUCCCAUAUCUUUUCCCCCAAAACAGUCCCUCUAUCCUUACCUUAGAGCAAGAAGCCAAAGGAGGAAAAGUUCUCGAUGGUAAUCCUUGCCCGGGGGUCUCCAGAGGAAGCUAAUCGCUGGCCCCGGGUCACUCAGCCUGUCCUUAAACGGCCACGCCAUGUGCACUGUCACCUGUGCUGUCCAGAUGGGCACAUGCAGCAUGCUGUGCUCACAGCCCGCCGCCAUUGCAGGGAUUUGUAUCGCUGUGCCCGUGUCAGCUCCUGGGGAGAUCUUUUACCCGUGACCACGCCUUCUGAGCUUCCUCCGUCCCCUGUUGAAGAUGCCCCUGAGAGUUAACAAGGAUGUGUAACAAGAGUUUUCUUGCAUCGUGCCUGCCAAGGCUAAAGCCACCUGAAACCUCGAGCUCAGCCCCUCCUGUAAGAAUACUGCUGCUUCUCCCAGAGACCGGGACUUCCCAGGGAAGUAAUGGGGUAGUGGGGAACGCCGCCCCCAGCACUCUGAGAACUGGCUCAA